rnacentral:lncRNA from 1 species
UAGUAAAAACCCGGAACUAGUAUUUCAUUGAACAAGUGAUACAUUAAUACAGAUUUGGAAUUACCAAGACAAAGGGGUUUUAUUUAUUUGCACCACAACCUACCUAGCUAUUACAAUCCUAACAUCUACCUAAGCAUGAGAAUGUUGAGUACAAAGAAAGGAUAAGUGAAUAUGUGUGCAAAAAUCUGCAGCACCCUUCACUCUCCCCUAUGCCAGCUGCCCCACCCCUCCAAUCCCCUUCUCCCUACACCCUACUACCAUCCAUUAGCACACUCAAGUGCACCAACCCUUUGCCUUCCAGCCAACAUCAAACCACAGCCAACAAAACACUGCAUUCUCCUCAUUCUACACUUAGAAAUUUUCAGAAUAACAGAUCUUCCUUCAUUCGGUCUGCCAACUUCUAGUCAUUCCAGUCCAGAAACUUUAAGGUAAACAUUGGCUUUAAUUUCUCAUCUUCUUCCAUUUGCAACCUGCAUUUAUUGAAAGGAACAGAUAUGAUUUAUUUCAGAGUCCUUCCAUAGCAGCCAACCAACACUUAUACCUCAAGGUAUUUUAUGCUAUCUCAGUUCACUAUCUUCAUAUAUACAUUUCACACCCCAACAAAGCAUGCUUCAUGUAUUAGAAGUUCAUAAAUACAAGAUGAAGUAUAUUACAGAGGGACAUAGCAAACCACAUAUGCGUACAUGAUUAUAGCAUUCCACAGAAAUAGUUUGACUCAUACAUUGAUAUAGAUUGCCACUGUACUUAGAACCGAAAGCCAUAAAGAACAAGCAUUUAACCCUUACAUAGUCAGGGACAUAAAGGCCCAAUCCUUGAUAACCAUAUGGAAGAAAAGGAGAAUAAAACUUAGCUUUUGGAAGAAGAGAGGCCUACUGCCC